rnacentral:miRNA from 1 species
GUGGAGGCAGCCGGUCUUGCUCAGGGGGUCAGUGGGGCUUAGAAAC